AAUUCUCAAUCUCUUUGGCUUUUGCACAAAAGCUGGAUCAGGUUUGGAUUGUGGAAGUUUGCAGGCUUUCCAAGUCAGCUCUUCUCAAAUGCAUUAGCAAGAUCAUGUGUGCUUAUGAUUGUCUUGUGGUAUGAUAAUUAUCUACACCGCUUGAGGAUCAGCUUCCUUUGCAGGAAGGAUCUUGCUUCUAACGGUCUCAAUUUUGAGACGCAACUGAUCUU
rnacentral:misc_RNA from 1 species